UUAGGCACCAAGGCCAGUUACAGGGUUCCCCAGUCUUGGCACCACUGAUCACUCCUUGCUGUGGGACUGUAAUGUUCAUUACAGGACUGUCAGCUGCAUACCUGGUCUUUACCAACUGGAUGGAUGCCAAGAUUAUCCCGUCCCCAUGACAAUGAAAAAUCUACAGACAAAUCUUCUCAGAGGACAGAGUUGCCUGUGACUGAGAACUGUCAGGUUCCCUACCUUGGCUACUUGGGGUUCUUAGCUAGGAUACCACUGAUUGGUCCUUGGAGAUGAACCCUUCUUUCUGGCUUUAAUGGAAGCAAGGCAUGUAGGGAAUAUGAACACACCCUCUGCUCCUGAAUGAGACCAAGUGAUUCCAUCCAGGGAUGUUUCAUGGAGAAGCUCCUCUGUGACCCACAGGUCUGCCACAUCCAGAGACCACUAUACAUUAAGAGCCACCUGCCUGCUCUCUGACUGACAGCAGCUUUCUGAAUCCAGCUAUUUAUUCAAAAGAUGAAACGAAGCGUGCGGGGAUUAAGCACUUGAGUGAAGCAGAAAUUACAAUUAUAAUAUUUUUUUAACAGACAGGAACAGGUGGUAUUUUAAAUCUAUCCAAGAUUAACCCGAAUUCAACAGUCUAAAUGCUCAGGUUGUGGCAAUAAACAUUGUUUAAUUAUGAA